UUCUGUUAGAACAGCACAAACUACACGAGAGACCCCUGUCUCUCUCUCUCAAAACCCCUCUCUCUCCUGACUUCCCAACUUGUUUCUCAUUGCUCACCUCUCUCUUCUCUCUCUCUCUCUCUCUCUCCAAUUGCGACCUGUUUCGCAACCAUGUUGGAGAAUCCUUAACAUCACAACUUCCCAAAUCACCAGAUCGCCGGACUCCGCCAUGGACCUCCCGGCGGAGAUUCAACCUCCGGCCGCCGCCGCCGCCUCUUUCCUCCGCUAAAUGCAACCACUAACCACCCUUCAACCCCUCCAACAACAACGAUGACACCUCAGCCUUCACCCCAAAAUCCCCCCAACCCUUGAAAAAAAUCGAAUUUUUCACAUACAUUUUGCUCUAUAACACUCUCUCAUUCAUCAAUUGCCCGUGUUAUUGCAACAAUGGCAGCAACUAACACCGCAACCCAACCCGUGGAGUCCUCGUCGGCAGCUCCAUCUGCCGACGAGGUGGCCGCGAAGGCGGUGCAGAAGAGGUACGAAGGGUUGGUGAUGGUGCGGACCAAAGCGAUUAAGGGCAAAGGGGCUUGGUAUUGGGCACACCUGGAACCCAUAUUGGUUCAUAAUUCCGAUACGGGUUUGCCUAAAGCUGUGAAAUUGAGGUGUUCUCUUUGUGACGCUCUCUUCUCUGCUUCGAACCCAUCAAGGACUGCUUCAGAGCAUCUCAAGAGAGGGACUUGCCCGAAUUUCAAUUCCGCCCCAAAACCCAUUUCCUCUGUUUCUCCCACUUCGCUUCCUGGUCUCACUUCCCCUUCUUCUACUUCUCACCACCAUCCUAACCACCGCAAACGCUCUUCUUCCGGUGGUCGAGGCGGCGGAGCUUCUUCUUCUUCUUCUUACCAGGUUCCUCCGCUUGCUAUUGUUGAUCCGACCCGGUUUUCGGUGGAGCUUGCUUACCCGCCGGCGGUGUCGGUGGCUACUGUUGUUACGGCGAGUGCUGGCGGAAGCGGCGGCGGUUGUUUUUAUGGUCAGCAACAGCAUUUGAUGUUGUCAGGUGGGAAAGAAGAUUUGGGUGCUUUAGCUAUGUUGGAAGACAGUGUGAAGAAGCUGAAAAGUCCAAAAGCGUCGGCUGGACCAACUCUAAGCAAGACCCAGAUUGAUUCAGCACUUGAUUAUCUCGCUGAUUGGGUCUAUGAGUCUUGUGGGUCUGUCUCAUUUUCAAGUCUUGAGCACCCCAAAUUCAAAGCUUUUCUUAACCAGGUCGGAUUGCCGGCGGUUUCGCGGAGAGAUUUCAUCGGCGGUAGACUAGAUGCUAAGUAUGAGGAAGCAAAGGCAGAGUCAGAAGUAAGAAUUCGAGAUGCGAUGUUCUUUCAAAUUUCAUCUGAUGGAUGGAAACCCAAAAACUAUGGACAUGGUGGGGAAGAGAAUUUGGUGAAUUUAGCUGUGAAUCUUCCCAAUGGGACUAGUGUGUUUCGUAGAGCAGUGUUUACUAGUGGGUCUGUGCCUUCAAAAUAUGCAGAGGAGGUUUUAUGGGACACUAUCAGGGAUAUCUGUGGGAAUCUCGUUCAUCAAUGUGUAGGUAUAGUUUCAGACAAGUUUAAGGCCAAGGCAUUGAAGAGUUUAGAGAGUCAACAUCAUUGGAUGGUUAAUCUUUCUUGUCAGUUUCAAGGGUUCAAUAGUUUGAUUAAGGACUUGAGUAAAGAGCUUCCAUUGUUCAUGAAUGUGACUGAGAAUUGUUUAAAACUAGCAAAUUUUGUCAAUAACCAGUCUCAAAUUCGAAAUGCUUUCCAUAAGUAUCAGUUGCAAGAGUAUGGGCAAGCUGGGUUGUUAAGAGUACCCUUGCGUGACUACGACAAAUCAAACUUUGGACCUGUGCACACCAUGGUGGAGGACAUACUGAGCUGGGCUCGAGCACUUCAGUUGGUCUUGCUCGAUGAAUCGUUCAAGAUAGUGUCCAUGGAGGAACAAAUUGCUAGAGAGAUUGAGGAUAUGAUGAGGGAUCCCCAUUUUUGGAAUGAAUUGGAAGCGGUGCACUCAUUGGUUAAACUGAUCAAGGGAAUGGCUCAGGAAAUUGAGACAGAAAGGCCAUUGGUUGGGCAAUGCAUUCCUCUAUGGGAUGAACUCAGAGCCAAAGUGAAGGAUUGGAGUUCUAGAUUCCACAUUGCUGAAGGACCUGUAGAGAAGGUGAUUGAUAGACGAUUCAGAAAGAACUAUCAUGCAGCAUGGGCUGCUGCAUUUAUUCUCGAUCCAUUUUAUCUAAUUAGGGACGCCAGUGGGAAGUACCUACCGCCCUUCAAAUGCUUGACACCUGAGCAAGAAAAGGAUGUGGACAAGCUCAUAACCCGGCUUGUGUCAAGGGAGGAGGCUCAUAUUGCUUUAAUGGAGCUUAUGAAAUGGAGAACUGAAGGGCUCGAUCCGGUAUAUGCACAAGCUGUGCAGUUGAAGCAGAGAGACCCCAUUACAGGAAAGAUGAAAAUUGCCAAUCCCCAAAGCAGUAGGCUUGUGUGGGAAACUUACCUUACUCAAUUCAAGUCAUUGGGGAAAGUUGCAGUGAGGCUCAUCUUCCUUCAUGCAACUUCAUGUGGGUUCAAAAGCAAUUGGUCUUUCUUGAGAUGGGUUAGUGCCCACGGGCACUCUAGGGUAAGCGUGGACAGGGCUCAGAAAUUGAUAUUUAUUGCUGCUCAUUCGAAGCUUGAGAGGCGGGAUUUUUCUACUGAUGAAGAAAAAGAUGCAGAGCUGUUCGCCUUGGCAAACGAUUUCUAUGAGGUUUGCGCAUUUGUCAGUUGUGUAGAACUGAUUUGCCUCUCCUGCGGAUCUCUUCUUUCAAGACUUUCAGUUUGCUUCAAGACCCUAAUUACAUAUUCUGUGCAUUAUUUGAGUUUUUCAACAUUAAAGUUAUUGUUGGAACCAUGCUUUAAUCCUAUACAUAUCACUCUUCACCUUCUGAAAGUACAAGGAAAAAACUCUGCACUGAGAUUGUAUUGCUUUGUUGAAGACCAUGUUUAGUUAAUAAGGUAUUAGCCUCUCAUCAUUGUAAAUUCACUGUUGUUCAUUAAGAGUGCUAUUUUCUGUUCUUUUUUCGUUUUUUGAGGGACAUUAAGAGUGCUAUUUAAUUUGUAAGUUCAUGUGAUAAUUGGCUACUGUUCUUGAGUUUUAUUUUUUUUCAUGUAAUCGUUUCUUCCUUAGGAGCUUGAUAAAAUGUCUGCGCGCGAUUCAAUGUGUCCAGUUUUUGUUUGUAUGUGUUAUUGGAUCCAAUGCAGAAUGAUUGUUGAUCUUUGUUCUUUUUGGUAUGAAAACUUUUGCACUAUCAUCUGUUCCUUUAUCUGCUCAAAAGAGGUCUAAUUUCUAGCUAAAUUGUGAUGGAGUUUGAAGUCUAGAAUCAGUACACCCAAAAUCAGCAACGGGAGAGCACAAACCUUACCAACCAUGUCUAGUGACGAUCUGAGUCAAAUUUUGCAUGGACUUCAGGUUUAGGUUCAGUUAUGGAGCUUAAUAUCACUACUAGCAUAUUCCAAAACUAGAAGCAUUUGACAAAGAUAUUAGAUUGGAGAGGCCUCCCUAAAGAUGCUUGGUUUGUUCAGUAAUAGAAAUUGUUAGAUCACGACUGAAGAGGAUUUUGCAAGAAAUGUCCAAGAACCAACUUGAUUUGUAAUUUUUGCUGUCAAGUUUCUUUUGGAAAGAGGCCAAGCUAGAGGUUGCGAUGCUCCAACUCAUUUCAUUGAUAGUGAGCAAAAGGAUUUGCAACAUGGGUCAACAACCUCGGAAGGACCCAAGAGCAUAUAUCCUUCUAGCCGGGGAAGCACUUGUUGUCACUGUUGUUAUCUCAUCCCUAUCUUGUGGUUUAUGUGUCUUUUAAAGGGAGUGGUGCCCCACCAUGAAAGAAGUGGAAGUCUAUUUCCAAGUUUUGGUUGUUAUGGAGAGGAGAGAUAAAAAGGGCCCUUAAUUUAAAUCAUCUUUGGGUAACUUCUCUUUAAAACAUUCCAAAACUCGUAUCGUUCAUGCAGACUCAUUGGAUGAUGCUCCACAUGAUUGCAAAAUAAAGGGUUUUGAGAGGACCCAAAGUAGAGGAAGACUGUUGGCAUGAAGCAACACAGAAGAUGCUUUGAUAACGAUUCGCCAACGAAGUUGAAUGGAUAUUGCUGGUUACAGAUAGCUUUGAGACUUGGAAGAACCAAAACUAGCAAGCAAGCAAGCAAUGGUGGAAGAGAGGAGGUUCUUUUACUUGUUUCCAUAUUUGAUCCAUGAAUUAUUCACCGUUAAUAUAUUUAUUAUACCACAGAUAAAUGUUGUAAAGCUUAUUGGUUUGUAUUUGAUUUUUGAUUUUUGAUUCUCUGUCAAAAUCUAUUCCUCUAUGUUAUGAAUAAAAAGUCUUUUUACUUUUAUUGCCUAUAUGAUUUUGCAGGGGAAAAAAAAAAGUGUAAAUAUAUCUGUUGUCCUGUUUAGACUCCUGUAAGAACUAGCCAUUCAAAACAUUACAAAAAAAAUUUAGUUUGAUGUUUCUCGA